GAUGAACGCUGGCGGCGUGCCUAAUACGUGCAAGUCGAGCGAACUGAUUAGAAGCUUGCUUCUAAGACGUUAGCGGCGGACGGGUGAGUAACACGUGGGCAACCUGCCUGUAAGACUGGGAUAACUUCGGGAAACCGAAGCUAAUACCGGAUAGGAUCUUCUCCUUCAUGGGAGAUGAUUGAAAGAUGGUUUCGGCUAUCACUUACAGAUGGGCCCGCGGUGCAUUAGCUAGUUGGUGAGGUAACGACUCACCAAGGCAACGAUGCAUAGCCGACCUGAGAGGGUGAUCGGCCACACUGGGACUGAGACACGGCCCAGACUCCUACGGGAGGCAGCAGUAGGGAAUCUUCCGCAAUGGACGAAAGUCUGACGGAGCAACGCCGCGUGAGUGAUGAAGGCUUUCGGGUCGUAAAACUCUGUCGUUAGGGAAGAACAAGUACGAGAGUAACUGCUCGUACCUUGACGGCACCUAACCAGAAAGCCACGGCUAACUACGUGCCAGCAGCCGCUGUAACAC
rnacentral:rRNA from 1 species